GAAGAGGAGCAUGAGGAGU
rnacentral:sRNA from 1 species